CACUUGCGGCUGCUUACCAUGCAGUCGACGAUGAUGCCCAGCUUGCUGGGCGGAUUAGUGGCGAACGGGUGAGUAACACGUGAGUAACCUGCCCUUGACUUCGGGAUAACUCCGGGAAACCGGGGCUAAUACCGGAUAUGAGCCGCCUUCGCAUGGGGGUGGUUGGAAAGUUUUUCGGUCAGGGAUGGGCUCGCGGCCUAUCAGCUUGUUGGUGGGGUGAUGGCCUACCAAGGCGACGACGGGUAGCCGGCCUGAGAGGGCGACCGGCCACACUGGGACUGAGACACGGCCCAGACUCCUACGGGAGGCAGCAGUGGGGAAUAUUGCACAAUGGGCGAAAGCCUGAUGCAGCGACGCCGCGUGAGGGAUGAAGGCCUUCGGGUUGUAAACCUCUUUCAGCAGGGAAGAAGCGCAAGUGACGGUACCUGCAGAAGAAGCGCCGGCUAACUACGUGCCAGCAGCCGCGGUAAUACGUAGGGCGCAAGCGUUGUCCGGAAUUAUUGGGCGUAAAGAGCUCGUAGGCGGUUUGUCGCGUCUGGUGUGAAAACUCGAGGCUCAACCUCGAGCUUGCAUCGGGUACGGGCAGACUAGAGUGCGGUAGGGGAGACUGGAAUUCCUGGUGUAGCGGUGGAAUGCGCAGAUAUCAGGAGGAACACCGAUGGCGAAGGCAGGUCUCUGGGCCGCAACUGACGCUGAGGAGCGAAAGCAUGGGGAGCGAACAGGAUUAGAUACCCUGGUAGUCCAUGCCGUAAACGUUGGGCACUAGGUGUGGGGCUCAUUCCACGAGUUCCGUGCCGCAGCAAACGCAUUAAGUGCCCCGCCUGGGGAGUACGGCCGCAAGGCUAAAACUCAAAGGAAUUGACGGGGGCCCGCACAAGCGGCGGAGCAUGCGGAUUAAUUCGAUGCAACGCGAAGAACCUUACCAAGGCUUGACAUGCACGAGAAGCCACCAGAGAUGGUGGUCUCUUUGGACACUCGUGCACAGGUGGUGCAUGGGUUGUCGUCAGCUCGUGUCGUGAGAUGUUGGGGUUAAGUCCCGCAACGAGCGCAACCCUUCGUCCCAUGUUGCCAGCGGGUUAUGCCCGGGGACCUCAUGGG
rnacentral:rRNA from 1 species